ensembl:rRNA 5S_rRNA 5S ribosomal RNA
GUCUAUGGCCAUAGAGUUCUGAUCCAGUAAGUUAAGCAGGGCUGGGUCUGGAAAGUAUAUGGAUGGAAGACUGCCUGGGAAUACCCAGUGCUGUAAGCU